AAGUCCAAGAUCAAGAUGCUGGUGGACUUAAGUGUCUGGUGAGAACCCUGUUCCUCAUUGUGGAUGGCCACCUCUUGCUGUGUCCUCACAUAGCAGAGAGGGGCUCUGGUCUCUUUCCUCUUCUUACAAAGGUGUAUCUGUUUCCCCACUUCAGGGUCCAGGCUUCAGUUAUAAUUAUAUUCUCAUGCGCUCCCUACCACUGUGGAGGAACCCCUCUUCCUGCUGACUCUGCAGAGCCUUCUGUCUUUUGUAGCGGCUGCAGUAGAAGGCAGGGAAGUGCCCUUUCCUGGACUGACCAGAGGAUCCUGUUCUACUGUCUUCUGGUACCUAAAUGGUGACUGUGUCUGGUAUAUCAGAGAUGCAUGUGCAUGACUGAGAGCUGAAUCUUGCUGGAAAUUGUGGCUAUAAUUUAACAUGUAAGACCUUCUACAGGGAAGAUAAUGGAGAAAAAUUUCUCUAUCAGCUGAGACAGCCUGGCAAGGUAAGUGCUGAAAGCUGGCACUUGGUUUUCCUCCGUCACUGAGGGUGGAGC